rnacentral:rRNA from 1 species
AGUUAAAAUAAAAUUAAAGGACGAGAAGACCCUAUAGAUCUUUAUUUUUGUUAUUUAUAAAUUAAAAAGAAUUUUAAAAUUUAUAAUUUAAUAAAAAAUUUUAUUGGGGUGAUAUUAAAAUUUAAAAAACUUUUAAAAUUUAUUAACAUAAAUAUAUGAAUAAAUGAUCCAGUUUUAUUGAUUAAAAAAUUAAGUUACCUUAGGGAUAACAGCGUAAUUUUUUUUUAGAGUUCUUAUCGACAAAAAAGACACUGUAUAUCUC